AACGAACGCUGGCGGCAUGCCUAACACAUGCAAGUCGAACGAGACCUUCGGGUCUAGUGGCGCACGGGUGCGUAACGCGUGGGAAUCUGCCCUUCGGUUGGGAAUAACUGAGAGAAAUUUCAGCUAAUACCUUAUAAUGUCUUCGGACCAAAGAUUUAUCGCCGAGGGAUGAGCCCGCGUAGGAUUAGGUAGUUGGUGGGGUAAUGGCCCACCAAGCCGACGAUCCUUAGCUGGUCUGAGAGGAUGGUCAGCCACACUGGGACUGAGACACGGCCCAGACUCCUACGGGAGGCAGCAGUGGGGAAUAUUGGACAAUGGGCGAAAGCCUGAUCCAGCAAUGCCGCGUGAGUGAUGAAGGCCUUAGGGUUGUAAAGCUCUUUUACCCGGGAUGAUAAUGACAGUACCGGGAGAAUAAGCUCCGGCUAACUCCGUG
rnacentral:rRNA from 1 species